rnacentral:rRNA from 1 species
GACGAACGCUGGCGGCAUGCUUAACACAUGCAAGUCGAACGGAAAUGCCCUGCUUGCAAGGAACUCGAGUGGCAAACGGGUGAAUAACACGUGCGUGAUCUCCCCUGCUCUUCGAGAUACUCUUGAAAAACUGAUUCUAACACCGUAUAAGAUCCAUCUUUAUCGUGGAGGUUGGAAAGUUCUUUCGGAGUAAGAUGAGCUCGCGCCCUAUCAGCUUGUUGGUGAGGUAAUGGCCUACCAAGGCGACGACUGUUAGCCGGCCUAAAAGGGUGAUACCGCCACCUUGUGACUGAAAUACGACCCAAACUCCUACGGAAGGCACCAUGGGGAAAUAUUGCACAUGGGGCCCAAGCCUAAUGCACCAACCCCCCGUGAGGAAUAAAGGCCUACGGGUUGUAAACUCCUUUCGCUAAGGACUAAACUUUUUCUCACGAUACCUACAUAAGAAACUCCAGCUAUCUACAUGCCAUCACUCCCUGUCAUACGUAGGGUGCGAACGUAGUCCGCAAUUACUGUCCGUAUAUGGCUCGUAUGAGGUUUGUCUCGUCGUCCGUAAAAUUCUGGGGCUUAACUCCGGCCCUGCACGAUAUACCUGCCUUUCAUGCUGGCUGUAUGGAUAACUGGAAUUCCAGGUGUAACAAGUAAAAUGCGCAGAUAUCAGGAGGACUUCCGACGCCGAAGGCAGGUUACUGGGCACUUACUGGCGCUGAGGAUCGAAAGCAUGGAGUAGCGAACAGGAUCAGAUACCCUGGUCGUCCAUACUGCAAACGGUGGGCGAUAGGUGCGAGGGUCUUUGUACGACGUUUGUGCGGUCGAUAACGCAUUAAGCGCCCCCCAUGGGGAGUGCGCCCUCACGGGUGAAACUCUCAGGAAUAGACGGGGGCCCGCACACGCGGCGGAGCAUGUGGAUUAAUUUGAUGCGACGCGAAGGGCCCUUCCUCGGCUUGACAUACAUCAGAUCCAUGUUGAGAAGUAGUUUCCCUUUGUGGCUGGUGUACAGGUGGUGCAUGGUUGUCGUCAGCUCGUGUCGUGAGAUGUUGGGUUAAGUCCCGCAACGAGCGCAACCCCUGUCUUAUGUUGCCCGCAUUUGGUUGGGGACUCAUGAGAGGCUGCCGGGGUCAACUCGGAGGAAGGUGGGGAAGACGUCAAAUCAUCAUGCCCCUUAUGUUCAGGGCCUCCCCCAUGAUACCAUGGUCGGUACCACGGGGCGGGACCCCGUGAGGUGGAGCGAAUUGUUGAAAGCCGGCCUCAGUUCGGAUUGGGGUCUGCAACUCGACCCCAUGAAGUCGGAGUCGCUAGUAAUCGCACAUCAGCCAUGGUGCGGUGAAUACGUUCCCGGGCCU